rnacentral:rRNA from 1 species
AGAGCGAACGCUGGCGGCAGGCUUAACACAUGCAAGUCGAGCGGGCGUAGCAAUACGUCAGCGGCAGACGGGUGAGUAACGCGUGGGAACAUACCUUUUGGUUCGGAACAACACAGGGAAACUUGUGCUAAUACCGGAUAAGCCCUUACGGGGAAAGAUUUAUCGCCGAAAGAUUGGCCCGCGUCUGAUUAGCUAGUUGGUGAGGUAACGGCUCACCAAGGCGACGAUCAGUAGCUGGUCUGAGAGGAUGAUCAGCCACAUUGGGACUGAGACACGGCCCAAACUCCUACGGGAGGCAGCAGUGGGAAUAUUGGACAAUGGGCGCAAGCCUGAUCCAGCCAUGCCGCGUGAGUGAUGAAGGCCCUAGGGUUGUAAAGCUCUUUUGUGCGGGAAGAUAAUGACGGUACCGCAAGAAUAAGCCCCGGCUAACUCGUGCCAGCAGCCGC